rnacentral:rRNA from 1 species
GCAGGCGCGAAAUCUUUACAAUGCGGGAAACCGCGAUAAGGGGACCCCGAGUGCCAGCAUUUAUGUUGGCUGUCCACAUGUGUAAACGGCAUGUGUUAGCAAGGGCCGGGCAAGACCGGUGCCAGCCGCCGCGGUAACACCGGCGGCCCCGAGUGGUAAUCACUUUUAUUGGGUCUAAAGGGUCCGUAGCCGGUUUGAUCAGUUCUUCGGGAAAUCUGACAGCUCAACUGUUAGGCUUCCGGGGAAUACUGUCAGACUUGGGACCGGGAGAGGUAAGAGGUACUACAGGGGUAGGAGUGAAAUCUUGUAAUCCCUGUGGGACCACCAGUGGCGAAAGGCGUCUUACCAGAACGGAUCCGACGGUGAGGGACGAAAGCUGGGGGCACGAACCGGAUUAGAUACCCGGGUAGUCCCAGCCGUAAACGAUNUNAUCUAGUUAAUAGGNUUUCUUUACNACCACUUCUUUUUUCUUAUCCACCCCCCAAACUCCCGCCUGGGAACGAG